AUGUGGGAGGCAGUCCAGGACAGCAACGUCGACCACCUAGAGGAUCGACGGGCGCUGGACGCCCUCAUUGCCGCAGUCCCGCCCGAGAUGCAGUUCUCGCUUUCCAACAAGCGGACUGCCAAGGAGGCUUGGGACGCCAUCGCCGCAGCACGCAUCGGCAGCGACCGUGCUCGCAAGUCCACCCUGCAGGCACUUCGUAAGGAGUGGGAGAACCUGGGCUUCAAGCCAGGUGAGGACGUUGAUGACUUUGCUCUCCGUCUCAACACUCUGCUGCAGAAGAUGGUGAAGUUUGGCGAUGCCACCUACACCGAGGAGAGAGCUGUCGAGAAGCUUUUUCGGUGCAUUCCCGAGAAGUACAAGCAGAUGGCUCGCUCGAUCGAGUCGUUGCUGGACCUCUCCACGAUGACGAUCGAGGAGGCGAUAGGUCGACUCAAGGUCGUCGACACCGACGAGCCACAGCCCCCCUCGGGGCCCGUCACCACCGGCGGGAAGCUGCUCCUAACUCGGGAGCAGUGGGAACCCAGCCUUGGUGACAAGAAGAAGGGGGAGCCUUCCUCCUCGACGGGCGGCCGCAAGCGUGGCAAGCAGCGUAAGGCGCGAAGAGGCCCCCCGGGCAGGGCACAAGGACGUGCCGAAGGUGACGCCCGCGGAGGCGCCAAGGACGGCGCCGCUGGCAAGCCCAGGCCGGCACAAGACAACAGUUGCCACAACUGUGGCCGGUUUGGCCAUUGGGCCAAUGAGUGUCGGCAACCACGACAAGGCCAGGCUCACGUCGCACAGGCGAAGGAGGAGACGGCUCUGUUCAUGGCGCAUGCAAGCAUUGAGCUACCCUCGGCGACUCCAGUCGCAAAGGCUUUCAUCCACCUCGAUGAGCCAAAAGCACAUGCUCUUCUCGGCGAUGGCUCCGGGAAGGACAAGGCUACGGGGUGGUGCCUCGACACCGGCGCCACCCACCACAUGACCGGUCGAAGGGAAUUCUUCGCCGAGCUCGACUCCGAUGCGCGAGGCUCCGUCAAGUUCGGGGAUGCCUCCGCUGUGGAGAUAAAGGGCGUCGGCUCCGUCAUCUUCACCACCAAGAUGGGAGAGCACCGGCUGCUCACCGGUGUCUACUACAUCCCCGCGCUAAGGAAUUCCAUCAUCAGCUUGGGACAGCUGGAUGAGAACGGCUCACGCGUGCUGAUUGAGCAUGGGGUCCUACGCAUCUGGGAUCGCCAGCGUCGCCUUCUCGCCAAGGUGCCCAGAGGUGAAAAUCGACUCUACGUCCUUGAUGUGCAGGUGGCACAACCGGUCUGUCUCGCUGUCCGUCGAGACGACGAGGCGUGGCAGUGGCAUGAGCGCUUUGGGCACCUUCACUUUGAGGCCCUAAAGCGUCUAAGUGCCAAGGAGAUGGUGCGAGGCCUGCCAUGCCUCGACCAUGUGGAGCAGUUCUGCGACAUCUGCGUACUGACAAAUUUUCGGGCUAAGGAGAAGCUGGAGCUCGUGCACGGAGACCUGUGCGGCCCGGUGACGCCAGCCACACCAGGAGGUCGACGCUACUUCCUGCUGCUCGUCGACGAUCUCUCCCGCUACAUGUGGGUGAUGAUCCUCGGCAGUAAGGGAGAAGCAGCGGACGCCAUCAGGCGCGCGCAGGUUGGUGUGGAGGCGGAGAGCGGCCGCAAAUUGCGCGUGUUGCGCACUGACAACGGCGGCGAGUUCACGGCGGCUGAAUUCGCGUCGUACUGCGCCGAUGAGGGCAUCCAGCGCCACUACUCCGCGCCGUACAGCCCGCAGCAAAACGGCGUCGUCGAGCGGCGCAACCAGACGGUUGUGGGGAUGGCUCGGGCUCUCCUCAAGCAGAGAGGGAUGCCGGCUGUCUUCUGGGGAGAGGCGGUGCUAACGGCCGUCUACAUCCUCAACCGCUCUCCUACUAAGGCACUCGACGGCAGAACUCCGUACGAGGCCUGGCAUGGGCGGAAGCCGGCGGUCUCUCAUUUGCGGGUCUUUGGCUGCCUUGCGUUCGCCAAGGAGCUCGGCCACAUCGGCAAGCUCGACGACAGGAGCACUCCGGGAGUCUUCAUCGGCUACGCGGAGGGCUCAAAGGCCUACUGCAUCCUCGACCCAAAGACACAACGUGUGCGCACAGCGCGAGACGUCGUGUUCAACGAAGGGCGAGGGUGGCAAUGGGACAAGGCGGUGGACGACGGCUCGACGCCGACGUAUGACGACUUCAUUGUCGAGUACGCUCACUUCAAGGAAGCUGGGGGACCGGCGACGCCGCAUACUCCAGCCCCGGCGGUCGCCACUCCGGGCUCGUCUUCAUCAGCACCAGCUCACGCAGAGCACAACCCGAUGAAGUUCGCUUCCCCGCUCACUCACGACGAGGAGCGGGUCGACGCAUGGUAUGGAGGCGAACCGCUGCGGUACCGUACGAUGGAUAAUGUGCUCGGCGACCAGCCGGUGCCAGGACUGGUGCCACGUGACCUGGAGGCACAGCUACAGCUCGUGUGUGAAGACGGCGAACCACGGUCCUUUGCAGAGGCCGAGAGAGACGCGGCAUGGCGCGCCGCGAUGAAGUUGGAGAUGGAUGCGGUCGAGCAAAACCGCACCUGGGAGCUUGCUGAUCUCCCUCGAGGUCACCGCGCAAUCACCCUUAAGUGGGUGUUCAAGCUGAAGAGGGAUGGAGCCGGCGCCAUCAUCAAGCACAAGGCUCGUUUGGUGGCCCGAGGCUUCUUGCAGCAGGAAGGAGUCGACUUCGACGACGCUUUCGCUCCCGUGGCACGGAUGGAGUCCUCGGCAUUCCUCAAUGGCGACUUGAAGGAGGAAGUCUACGUGCAUCAGCCACCGGGGUUUACGAUUCCCGGCCAGGAGGGCAAGGUGCUCUGCCUGCGCAAGGCUCUCUAUGGCCUGCGGCAGGCACCCAGGGCGUGGAACGCCAAGCUGGACUCCACGCUGAAGAAGAUGGGUUUCGAGCAGAGCCCGCAUGAGGCUGCCGUCUACCGACGGGGGAGUGGAGGAAAUGCCCUGCUGGUGGGCGUCUACGUUGACGACCUGGUGAUCACCGGCACCAAAGAUGCAGAGGUGGCGGCGUUCAAGGAAGACAUGAAGGCCACGUUCCAGAUGAGUGACCUAGGGCUCCUCUCCUUCUAUCUAGGGAUUGAGGUGCACCAGGACCACUCCGGGAUCGCGCUUCGACAGUCUGCCUACGCCAAGCGCAUCGUUGAGCUAGCUGGGCUCACCGACUGCCAUCCAGCUCUCACUCCGAUGGAGGAGAGGCUGAAACUAAGUCGCGGCAGCACGACGGAGGAAGUGGAUGCUACGCAGUACCGACGCCUUGUGGGGAGCCUUCGCUACCUCACUCACACACGGCCGGACUUGGCAUUCUCCGUCGGCUAUGUCAGUCGGUGCCCUGGGGCGGCACACUUCGUCGGGUACAGCGACAGCGACCACGCCGGCGACAUCGACACCAGCAAGAGCACGAGCGGGAUCCUCCUCUUCCUCGGCAAGUGUCUCGUGAGCUGGCAAUCAGUCAAGCAGCAGGUGGUGGCCCUGUCCAGCUGUGAGGCUGAGUACAUAGCGGCCUCCACCGCCUGUACUCAGGCGCUCUGGCUUGCUCGACUGCUUGGUGAUCUUCUCGUUCAAGACACCAGAACGGUGCAGCUCCUGGUGGACAGCAAGUCCGCCCUGGCCCUGGCAAAGAACCCCGUGUUCCACGAACGGAGCAAGCACAUCCGACUGAGGUAUCACUUCAUCCGCAACUGUGUGGAAGAAGGGAGCAUCGAGGCGAGCUACAUCAACACCAAGGAUCAGCUCGCAGACCUGCUCACCAAGCCCCUUGGGAGGGUCAAGUUCCUCGAACUUUGCUCCAGGAUUGGGAUGAUUCAACUCUCCCACAAGACGACGUACAAGACUUAG
rnacentral:rRNA from 1 species